CGAAGUGCUGGAAUCACGGGCGUCAUGGCCCCUGUGACCGGCAGCCACCGCGGUGGCUCACAGAUCAACGAGCGGNGGUUCCUUGACCAGAAUUGCGAUAUGANCGGUCUCACANCGUGUAGAAGAUGCNAGAGUCGACGUUCCGUAGGUGAACCUGCGGAAGGAUCAUUA
rnacentral:rRNA from 1 species